UACGGAGGGUGCGAGCGUUGUCCGGAAUCACUGGGCGUAAAGGGCGCGUAGGUGGCGCUGCAAGUCAACGGUGAAAGCUCGACGCUUAACGUCGAGUCGGCCGCGAAACUGCAGCGCUCGAGCACUGUAGAGGCUCAUGGAAUUCCGGGGUGUAGCGGUGGAAUGCGUAGAGAUGUGGAGGAACACCAGUGGCGAAGGCGGCUUUCUGGACGAUAACUGACGUGAGACGCCGAAAGCGUGGGGAGCAAACAGG
rnacentral:rRNA from 1 species